rnacentral:rRNA from 1 species
UACGUAGGGGGCAAGCGUUGUCCGGAUUUAUUGGGCGUAAAGAGCGUGUAGGCGGCCAGGUAGGUCCGUUGUGAAAACUCGAGGCUCAACCUCGAGACGUCGGCGGAAACCCUCUGGCUAGAGUCCGGAAGAGGCGAGUGGAAUUCCUGGUGUAGCGGUGAAAUGCGCAGAUAUCAGGAGGAACACCGAUUGCGAAGGCAGCUCGCUGGGACGUUACUGACGCUGAGACGCGAAAGCGUGGGGAGCAAACAGG